AGCCCUAUAGCUCAAUUGGAUAGAGUUCCACUCUUCUAAAGCGGACGUUCUGGUUCGAAUCCAGAUGGGGCUA
rnacentral:tRNA from 2 species